GAUGAACGCUGGCGGUAUGCUUAACACAUGCAAGUCGAACGGUACCUUCGGGUAUAGUGGCGGACGGGUGAGUAACGCGUGAGAAUCUGUCUUCAGGUCGGGGACAACAGUUAGAAAUGACUGCUAAUACCGGAUGUGCCGAGAGGUAAAAGAUUUAUUGCCUGAAAGAGAGCUCGCGUCAGAUUAGCUAGUAGGUGGUGUAAGAGACUACCUAGGCGACGAUCUGUAGCUGGUCUGAGAGGACGAUCAGCCACACUGGAACUGAGACACGGUCCAGACUCCUACGGGAGGCAGCAGUGGGGGAAUUUUCCGCAAUGGGCGAAAGCCUGACGGAGCAAUACCGCGUGAGGGACGAAGGCUUUUGGGUCGUAAACCUCUUUUAUUAGGGAAGAUAAUGACGGUACCUAAUGAAUAAGCAUCGGCUAACUCUGUGCCAGCAGCCGCGGUAAU
rnacentral:rRNA from 1 species